rnacentral:rRNA from 1 species
CGCAUGCCGCGGGAGGAAUGUGUGGUGUAGCGGUGAAAUGCAUAGAUAUCACACAGAACACCGAUUGCGAAGGCAUCCCGCGAAUGCGACAUCGACGCUGAGGCACGAAAGUGUGGGGAUCGAACAGGAUUAGAUACCCUGGUAGUCCACGCCGUAAACGAUGAUGACUGUCCGUUUGUCCCGCAAGGGGUGAGUGGAGAAGGGAAACCGAUAAGUCAUCCACCUGGGGAGUACGGCCGCAAGGCUGAAACUCAAAGGAAUUGACGGGGGCCCGCACAAGCGGAGGAACAUGUGGUUUAAUUCGAUGAUACGCGAGGGACCUUACCCGGGAUUGAACGCAGGGGGACGUAUCCGGAAACGGAUAUUCCCUUCGGGGCCGGCAUGGAGGUGCUGCAUGGUUGUCGUCAGCUCGUGCCGUGAGGUGUCGGCUCAAGUGCCAUAACGAGCGCAACCCUCAUUUCCAGUUGCCAUCGGGUUAUGCCGGGGACUCUGGAGAGACUGCCGUCGUAAGAUGCGAGGAAGGGGGGGAUGACGUCAAAUCAGCACGGCCCUUACGUCCGGGGCUACACACGUGUUACAAUGGGGGAUACAGAGCGUUGCCACCCGGUGACGGGGCGCCAAUCGUGAAAGUCCCUCCCAGUUCGGACUGGAGUCUGCAACCCGACUCCACGAAGCUGGAUUCGCUAGUAAUCGCGCAUCAGCCAUGGCGCGGUGAAUACGUUCCCGGGCCUUGUACACACCGCCCGUCAAGCCAUG